UACGUAGGGCGCAAGCGUUUAUCCGGAAUUAUUGGGCGUAAAGAGCUCGUAGGCGGUUUGUCGCGUCUGCCGUGAAAGUCCGGGGCUUAACCCUGGGCUUGCAGUGGGUACGGGCAGACUAGAGUGUGGUAGGGGGAGACUGGAAUUCCUGGUGUAGCGGUGAAAUGCGCAGAUAUCAGGAGGAACACCGAUGGCGAAGGCAGGUCUCUGGGCCACUACUGACGCUGAGAAGCGAAAGCAUGGGG
rnacentral:rRNA from 1 species